GAUGGGAAAAACAAAAAACCCAAAAACAUAAAGUUUUGGUCCUAAACUUGCCGCUGUUUUUAAUCAAAAUUACACAUGCAAGCAUCCGCACACCAGUUAGAAUGCCCUACAAAGUAGAAAGGAGCAGGUAUCAGGCACAACUUAUUAGCCCAAAACACCUUGCUACGCCACACCCACACGGGCACCCAGCAGUUAUAAAUAUUAAGCAAUAAGUAAGCAACCCACAUCAAGCUUGACUUAGUUAUGAUUAUCAGGGCCGGUCAACCUCGUGCCAGCCACCGCGGUUAUACGAAGGGCCCAAAACAGCAGACCCCGGCGUAAAUUAUGGCUAGAGAAACUACUUAUUUAACGGGAGAUAAACACUAACCCAAUCGUAAAACCCGAGUUAAAAGAAACCCCUCCCCUCCCAAGAACAAAGUAACUUGAACCCAUGAAGGCUAAGAAACAAACUAGGAUUAGAUACCCUACUAUGCUUAGCUGUUAACACGACACAGCUUAACACUAGUGUCCGCCAGAGGAUUACGAGCGAAAAGCUUAAAACUCAAAGGACUUGGCGGUGCUCCGUAUUCGUCUUAGAGGAGCCUGUCCUAUAAUCGAUACUCCACGCUUUACCUCACCAUCUUUUGUCCUUCCAGCCUAUAUACCGCCGUCGCAAACUUACCC
rnacentral:rRNA from 1 species